AGAGAGGCCAGAGUGGAUGGAGUUAUGUGCUGUAGGGGAUGGGGCUGGGGACAUGAUGAGAGGCUUUACAUGGAUUUGAAGCCUUUCAGAUUCCCAUUGACAUGAAGGGUGAGAAAUGUCUCCUGGUCUUCUACGGCCCAGAUUCACAUGACCUAGAAAAGGAAUUGUAUCCAUCGCCAGCGACCCAGAUUUUCACUGAAAAGGCGACGUGGUCAGGCGGCAUCGGGGAUUCUAAUGUCAAAGAAGCUAUGAUGGAAGGACUCACAAGGGCUUUUCCCUGCCCAGCUUGGAAGUGACUGUCUUUAUGGAGGAAAUAAUUGUGAGCUUUUGGCAUUUGCUACUUCUCCUAAACGAACACAUUAUAGUGAAACCAUCUAUUCCUAAAAAUUUGGGGAUCAGCAAGUAAUAUAAGCCAAGGAGGAACCACAGCCCUGAGCAUCUGAGACUUUGUCCUUGGUAAGUAGAAAUUGCGCUCUCUUAAGGCCAUGGUCCAUGUCACAAGCAGCAGUGAUGUCCAAGAUUCUGGUUUUCAGCUAAACCUUCUUGGCUACCGUAUUUCAGAGCCAGAGGGUAGUGGGAAAACAUGGAGCCAUGUGGCAGAAUGACUUACCCAGUCCCCCAGUUUCUAAUUGUGAGUAAAUACACCUUACGGUUCAGUUUAUUAAUUAUUCUUCUGAUUUUUCAAGGGUGUGUGACUGGGGGUUGAGCAGUUGAGAGGGUAUUGCAAGCAUUCAUUUUAUGCCUGGUUCUCCUUCUCUGGUAGAAAGCAAAGCUCACCCCAGACAGGUUAACUAACUUGCCCACAUCACUUACCAAUGAGAGAAACUAAGAAGUGGAAAGGCAUCUCCUAAAUAUUACUCAUCAACUUAGAGUCUAAUGGUGGGACCAACGUAGGAAUUACCAAAGGAAAACUCCGCCAGAUGCUCACAAAGCAUUGAGCAGAGGACACAGUGGGACGAGAGCGUCCUCCAGCCCUCCUGGUGGCUCUGCAGGUUAGGGUGAGGGGAGGAGUUGCUGAGGGGCAGAUUACUCCCUUCCUGGGGGAUGGGCUUUCGUAAAUGUUUGGGAGCAAGGGGUGAUAUGCUCAAAUCAGUCUGGAAAACGGGUAUGUAAAAUUCCACUCUGUAAUAUAGGACUUUGGAUUUAAUUUACUAUGGGGAAUUUUAAAUAUACCAGAAAGGAUAAGGUACAAGAAGCCUCACCCUCUGGAGCACAGAAUCCUGCUUGUUUCCCUAAUUGCUCCUGUCUCCCUUUUCAGGGAUCCUUCAGAACUAGUCUCUUACAGAAAGCUCUGUUGAAGUGUGCUCUAAUUCAUGAUAUCCCUAUAGGUGGAAUGCUUUCAUUCCCCCAUUUAUAGACAAAGAACCCAAGGCAGAGACAGAGGGGCAAAGACACUUCUGAAGGUCACAUAGUAGUGGCCUGUGUUAAACCCAACUGUUUAGCAUCAGAGGUGGUUUGUGAACCCCUGAGGAGUGCUGAGGACAGCAUGUGGCUGGCAUGAUGCACUCCAUGUGUUCACUGUCCUUCCCUCUGUACCCCCUCCCCUGUCCUGCUCACAGGCCCAUGUGUGCAUGGCGUUUCUGCAAAUGGACUUCACCCUAAGCAGCCCUCACCUGCAACAUCCUGCAGAGCAAACCCCUCCUCCCUGGGUAAACCCCGGGAGAAGCAGAGCUCGGAGAAGAACGAAUUCAGACAGGAAGCAAGGGUCAAAUGUCAUGUUCUCCUAGGAAACUGCAAAUGCCACCUAGCCAAGAGAGUGAACUAACAGAACCUUGAAUUGUCCCCAGUGAGUGACUAUGGUGAAGGGAUACUAUCAGGACAGUGAAAAGAUAACCCAUAGAAUGGAAGGAAAUAUCUGCAAAUCAUAUGUCUGAUAAAGGUCUGGUAUUCAAGUUGGAAAGAACUCACAAUAUAGAAUGAAAGACAAAUAACCCAAUUAAAAAUGAAGGAAGAACGUGGACAAAGUCACAGAGAUGGAAAGGUAAAGACGGAUGACAGGAAGCAGUAGACUUGGCUGGUUGCAUGCAUAAGAGAAUCAGGAGAUAAAGCUGGAAACGAUCUGUUGGGGCAACGGCUUUCAUGGAAAGAUGAUGGACUGGCGCCACUUGCCUCUCUUCUCAUUGCCGAAAGCAAAUAAACAAGGACCCUUCCUGGAGUUUCAUUUUUAUUUUAUAAGGCAGAUAAAAAGUCAUCCUACA